CUCGCCGCCUGAAGACGUCUUGCCGGAGCACCGUCGGCGCCUUGGGAAGGCUGCAGCCUGGCUCUCCUCCCGCGCGCGCUGCGCUACGAGCCGUGAUUCAUUCUGCUCCUGAGUCAUGGGUAAAGGCUAGUCCAACAGAGGACGUUCAUUCUAAGGCUCUGGGAGCAUCUCGUGAGAACAACUGAUUUUGCAGAGAAAGUGCUCAGCACCGACAAGGGAUUUUGCCACCCCUGUAUUACAGGUACCAGCAGCUGAGCUUGCUAAGUCAAUAGACUGCUAAUAACAGGCCCUGCAGUUUGUCGUAAGGCUGAUAUGUUGUUUUUCGUGCCCAUCACGGUUGGGAAGGAGGACUCCUUUCCAGCGCAGCCUCACCGGAUGACCCCAUCCAUGGAUGGAGCUGCGUGCCGCAAAGCAAGGCGGAUGCCUCCGAGCGCUGGGCUCUCAGCGUGCAGGCGGUGCGGCUUAGCUUGCGCUUGGUGGAAGAUGGGCACAGCCUCCGUAUGUUCUUCCUGUUCUCCAUGUUUUCCAGCUUGAAAUGAAGUGUCUUUGGCAUUCAAGCUGUGUUCCAGAAUGCUUAAUCCUUUGAAUCCCGCUCUACAUCCGAUUCAGAGUUUUCUCUGGCUGCUCCUGUACAAUUUUAUCCAGUGGACAUGCAUAAGCCCCAAACAGAUAGUUUUACUGUUCAGCUUCAGUCUGGCAGGGAGAGGAUCGGUGCUCGGGGAGACCAGAGCUCCCCUCUGCCGAGAGAGAUGGGGCAAGGCUGGAGGUCACUGGGCGCUGUAAUUUGUGCUGUCCUUCCUCCUCGUUUCAAGACAGAUCAUUUUAAAAGUGCCAUCAUGCUAGAUGGCAUUUUUCUACAGUAUCCUCGAUAACUCCCUCCAUCGCCGGGGAAUGCACGUAUGGAAAGGCCACUGAGCGGGAUCACAAGCUACCGAACCAUGUUAUCUCCCUCCCUGCCUUUGAGAGAGGGGCAAAGAAAAGGCUUGGCCUGUACCAUGCAAUCGCUGAGCGCAAGGAGGGAGAUGCUAACCCCAGCGAAGAGGCGGCUGUAACAGCAGGAGGGCGAGCGCAACGUCCCAGAUGACCCUGUUUCACCCCAAGUUCCUACCUAGCUUGGUUAUGUACCUACAGUUUAAUAAAGAAAGUAUUUUCCCCGAUGGCUGUUUAGAUGCCCAGAGCUGCGGGGUGCGGUGCUAUCACCCACAUUUCCCUAAAUGACGGCUCGUCUUGCCCCGGAGACCCCAAAGCCCUAUGCAGUGCUUCCAGCUCCAACAGCCUCCUGCCAGUGCUCACGCAAGGGGCCACCUCCGCUCCGGCUCCUAGCCACCGGGCUGGAGCGGAUGGGUCGGGGGAAAGGAUCCGUGCACACGUCAUGUGUAGCAACAGAAAGUAAAAUCUGGGCUUGUGAAUAACGUAGUACAAGCAAUGUGGGCGUGCCGGCCUGGAAGCAGCAAUGGACGUGCUGGACAUGGACAUCAACGCAAAGAUUCCCACCGGAUACAGUAGGCCCUUGUGCCCAGGAGCCUUCUCCUUCUCCAGAGCACAGUGAACGCUCUCAGAGGCAAUUUUUUUUAGCCACUGCUGUGAGUGUUUUACUUCAUGUUUCCCUUGACAACACUGGCACUCUCUAACUGGAGAUAUCUUCUUACUUCUUGGAGACACUUUCAGUGUCUGGCUAGGAAACAAAGUAUAGAUAGGACGUUGAUUUGUGAGCUGUUUCCUCCUCAGAUUUGUCUUCAGUACGCUUAGGAAGAACAAGUCUGACCUUGGCUUAUCUUUUUUGAUCCCUUCUGUGUCUUUGACCCGAAAUGCCUGGUUACAGAAUAACUAAACAUUCAUUUUGCGAUUUUUUUUUUUUUUGCCAUGUACAAAAGCAGAGUUCAAAUUCAGCAGAAAAGCAAGAUCUGUGAGGUUUUUUUUUUUCCCUGAAAAAUGACCACACUGUUGCUUCCCCUCUGCAGUAAAAAUUUACAUCCAGAUAAAUCUUUCAUUAAAAUCCAUAUACACUGUG